GCCAGCACUAUAAAACCAAUUAUGGAGCAAGGAGGUUGAGCCGUUUCAAGGUCCCCUCUCCCUUCAGGACUGAGUGAUCAGAACAAGCGGCGGUUUCAAGCUGCCCAUGUCACCCCCCUCCACUCCUCGCAGUGUGUCGGUUUCAAGGCGACCCUCCGGUAGGGGCAAGAAAGCGCUACGGCAGACACCAAACCGUAGAGGAAGACGAGAGGGAAGCAGCGGAGGCGAAGCUGAGCAACAGCUACGGACGGCUGCAGCGGAGAAACGGGCCCGCCCUGUGGCUGCCCGGUGUUCCGGUGAGGUCGCGACGCCCUCGGUGGUCACACCUCGAUGUUUGUUUUUUUUGCCCAGCAGGAAAAACAACCUUCACACCGAGUAAAAAGAGGCCGCUCCGCUCAGCGACCUGUCUGCUCGCAGCGCCUGUCACCCCUGACGAGACCCGGGGAGGGAAUUACCAGGCGGAGAUCAGAGUGAUGUCCCGUCCCGGGCCGUCGGAGGGGACCAAGCCAGCCUUUGUUCUCCAAAUGGCUCCGACUGGGAAUUCAGACAAUGCCUCUAGAUUAGGGCCCUAUUGUUGCUGUCUUUUCACCCCGCGCGCAGGAGGCAGGUUUCAUCUUUUCGUUUCUGUUUUUCUUGUCAAAUGCCGCGGCGCUCGUGGGGGGUUAUCUCCACUUUGAGGUGGGCUUGGCGGUUGUACGGGCUGUGGAGCGCAUUUGUGUUUUACAGAGUGGUCAUGAUUCCCUCAGAUAAUAAAGGGCAUAAUAGUUUUUCUUGUCCAUUAAUGUCCCAUGUUUUACACACGGGGUUAAUCCAACAGUAGCUUCAAUUUAGAGAUAUAAUCUUAUAUAUCUAUUUCAUGACAAUGUGGCCGUCCUUAAUUACUGACAUGGUGGUGAAAUUAAAACACCCAUCAGCGGUUCAGCCAAAAUAAUCCAAUAAAAAAGAUGUAUAACAUAACAUAAUUCUUUAUUGCAUUCUCCACCUACAAAAUAAAUAGAAUAAGGUGUGGUUCAUGUGCAGCUUCUCACUUUCCUCAUUUGAUGGUAAUAACAUGAAUCUGAUUAUUUCUACGUUAGGACUUAUCCCAGUGAUGCGUUGCUGCAGAAGCAGAUGGGACAUUUGGUAGAUUAUGUCUUUUUAUAGCCUAUACACCAACUGGAUUCUUUGAUCAUAUUCCAAAUUAAAGCUCCAAGCUUUUCCUCUCUGUGGGCUGCGGUGGAAAAAUACUGAAAAACACAUGAUUUAUAGCCUGAAACACUGUUGAGUCAAUACAACACCACAGCCACGUUUUCAUUCCACUAACAUUGUUUUUAUUCUGCCGACCAAAGAUUACACAAAGAGAACAUUUGUUAUCCCUGACUCUUGUUUUAGGCUUUGUGUGUUUUUCUUUCUUCCCCUUGUUGUUUCUCUUAUCUUUGUCUGAACACCAUAUCUUGCAUCAUACCUCCAGCCGUGUGGCUGUCCAAAUAUCAUUGUUGGGGUUUGGGUUAAUUCUGUCCUAUCAGUUAAAGGAUCAGGUAAAUGAUUUUAUUUGGCCGGUCAGACUAUCUGGUUUUCUGCAGGCGUGUGGUUGCGUUAACCCACAGGGGACGAAGCACAGAGGCAGCAUUGAUUAAUUCAGCAGGGGGGUUAGGUCCUUUAUGGAAAAUAAAUACAUAAAUAAUUAAACAAGAAAGAUGUCACCCUGCAUAAGCAUCCACCCUUCAACAAAAGCACUUCAGUUAGCACAUUUGACUUAGGCUGCAAAUCAAGCCUGAAUUUAUGAUCCAACUAAACAUAUUUUAUACAAUACUCCUUAAAUGGACAAAUGGACAGCAGGAAUAAAUAAGAGAUAUUUUAUGUGACCCCUCACACAUCAGUGCGCCUUCAUGCCCAAAGUGCUAAAUCAUUCAUAAUACCUUGUCUCAUGCUCCACACAAGUAGCCGACUCUUAUCAAAGCCACUGCUGCUGCACUGCAGCAACGCACAGCCACUACAUGACUGUGAACAGGGCUAAUUGCAGUGUCAUGUUUUGUGA
ensembl:lncRNA